CCCUUAGAUGUUCUGGGCGGCCCGCGCACUACAUUGGCACUCUCAAUAAGUUCCUAGAUCUAAAACUUUGGGGUAUUCUAUUAAGUGGUGUCGUGACUGGGAUUAACCCUUGCAAUUAUUGGUUACGAACGAGGAAUUCCUUGUAAUCGCGGUUUAUCAGCCCGCGUUGAAUGCGUCCCUGCCUUUGUACACACCGCCCGUCGCUCCUACCGAUGAAUCGUCCGGUGAAGUUCAUGGAGUGGUGGUUGUUCCAGCUGCUGUCGAAGUGAAAUGGACCUCACGAUUUAGAGGAAGGAGAAGUCGUAACA
rnacentral:rRNA from 1 species